ACCUUUUUAACAGAAUAUGAAAUGUGUGUUUAAGAUACCUUGGAGCUACGAUGGCAUUUUGAUAGUAAAAGCUGUCAGCUACUGCAGGUACAGAACCAAAUAUGUAAGAAACAGCCAACAGAGAGAUUCGGGAGGAAAUAGACUUUGUGAAGAAACACAGCCCUCUGCUGGAAGAAAAGCUGAAUCCAAGGACAAAGCCGUGGAGGAUGUACGAAAAGGAAUGAGUUAAAGCAUUCUGAAUUUAUUUGGACCGAAUACUGUAUGGAGUAAAAGAAACAGAGGAGAAGAUUAUAGAGGAUGAAAAACACCUUGAGGAGUUAGUGAAGCAAAAAGCAGAAAUCCAGGAAGAUGCAAAAUGUUGGAACAGCAAAGUGA
rnacentral:lncRNA from 1 species